rnacentral:rRNA from 1 species
AGCAGCCGCGGUAAUUCCAGCUCCAAUAGCGUAUAUUAAAGUUGUUGCAGUUAAAAAGCUCGUAGUUGAAUUUCGGGAUCGACGGGUCGGUCGCGCCUCUGGUGUGUACUGGCCCUGUCGGUUUCUCCCUUCUGAAGAACCGCGAUGUCAUUAAUUUGGUGUCGUGGGGAAUCAGGACUGUUACUUUGAAAAAAUUAGAGUGUUUAAAGCAGGCAUUCGCUUGAAUACAUUAGCAUGGAAUAAUGAAAUAGGACGUUUGAUCUUAUUUUGUUGGUUUCUAAGAUCGACGUAAUGAUUAAUAGGGAUAGUUGGGGGCAUUAGUAUUCAAUUGUCAGAGGUGAAAUUCUUGGAUUUAUUGAAGACUAACUACUGCGAAAGCAUUUGCCAAGGAUGUUUUCAUUAAUCAAGAACGAAAGUUAGGGGAUCGAAGACGAUCAGAUACCGUCGUAGUCUUAACCAUAAACUAUGCCGACUAGGGAUCGGAUGAUGUUAAUUUUUAAUGACUCAUUCGGCGCCUUAA